AUUGAACGCUGGCGGCAUGCUUUACACAUGCAAGUCGAACGGCAGCGAGGAGAAGCUUGCUUCUCUGUCGGCGAGUGGCGAACGGGUGAGUAUAGCAUCGGAACGUGCCAAGUAGUGGGGGAUAACCAAACGAAAGUUUGGCUAAUACCGCGUAAGCUCUAAGGAGGAAAGUAGGGGACCUAAAUAAGGCCUUACGCUAUUUGAUCGGCCGAUGUCGGAUUAGCUAGUUGGUGGGGUAAUGGCUCACCAAGGCAAUGAUCCGUAGCGGGUCUGAGAGGACGUUCCCCAACACGGGAAAUAGACACCGGCCCGGACCCCUACGGGGGGCGGAGGGGGGGAUUUUUGAAAAAGGGGGAAACCCUUAAUCCACCCUUGCGGGGUUUAUAAAGAAGCCUUUAGGUUUUAAAAGUCUUUUUGUAAGGAAAAAAAAGUUGUUUUUUAAAAAAAUUUGUGAUGGACGGUACCAAAGAAAUAGCCCCCGCCGAACUACU
rnacentral:rRNA from 1 species